AGAGAACCGAUGAGCAAAACGUCAGCGGACCGCCAGCUAAUCCCCCAAAGGACCGACAGUGGUCCGCCAGCCUCUUGCUAUCUGGUGACAGAAGAUUAAGA